GCAUCGGUCCGGAGUCAGUGGGUUAUCGGUUCUUUCCCCUUGGGGAAUUUCCCAUCGGCACCAACUCGACCGUUGUU
rnacentral:sRNA from 13 species